rnacentral:misc_RNA from 1 species
UAACUGUUCUAUAAGUAAAUUACAUUCCGUGAAAAGUGUCCGGAUGCUUUUGACCAGUUGCGUAUAUGAUUACGUAUCUUCGUUUGAACUAUAGCAAAUUUUUCACAUAAGAGACAGACAUAUCUCACCAGGUUAGAAAUCAAAAGGGCUUGGUGCAGUAUUCGAACAAAAGGACCGCUCUAAUUGGGCCGUAUCGGGAAGCAUUACAUCCGUUAAAUGGAUCACACUCGAGAACGUUUUAUUCCCUGACUGGCGGUGAUUACUGCCGAUAGCCAGGAGGGCCAGAUGUUCGAGCGGCGAUGACGCGCCACCCUUUUCCUUUACUUUAUCAUCCUCCCACAACACCCCUUUCCUACUUCUAUCCUUAUCUAUUCGCCUAUCUUCCGUUGUUUCUUUUGUACGUUUCGUCUGCUUCUUCACCUUUUUCUUUCCCUUCUCCGCUUUUUUUUUUCUUUUUUAUUCCCUUUCGCGAUCCUUAUCCACGUAUCUUUUCGGUGGGCUUUUCGAGGAUGAACAACUGGACGUGGAAACGAGAUGGACAAUCGUACAGCUGUUCGCUCGCAGGGGCGCAUCUGCCUCCCGUUCAGCUCGCGUGCAGUUUGAGAAAAAGGUAAAGUUCGUAUACGUAGAUUUACCGACCUUUUUAGUUCGCCACAGCAGUUUGGCAUAUUAGCGGAUAGUUUUGUUUUGAUUCACCUAUUUUCGCCCCUGAAAGCAUCGCUCUAUAUAAUAACAAAUACUGCUUAUACUAAUGGUUCGUAUAUCUAUAGAAUUUAGCGUCAUAUGAUCCCUGCAUACUGAGUACUGUCCUCCAUCUUCAAUUCAUCUGCUUUCAAGUAUCGAAUAGGAACAUAAAUUAAUAAUCAACUAUUACGUAGCUAUUCGUGUAUUGAUGUAUUCCAGAUGUAUAAGAUGUAUUCCAAUUUAUUUUUACAUUCAUAAACCUUUCAAGUAGAUUAAUAGCAGUUUCCUUGUUCAGUUUGUUAAUGAAUAGUUUACAUUAGCUCUUCAAAGAACUUUAUAAUUAACA